UCGUCCCUUCGAUCUGAGCAGCAGCCACCCAAGCCAGUCAUUUUUCUCUCUCACGUUUCCUAAACGUCUCACUUCUUCAGUCGACCAACCACAUGUGUUCGUUCAACUUGUCGCCCGGUUCGUGAAGAUGUCGUUGGCUCCAGCUAGACUCGCUUGCAGACGUUUUCUCUCUUUCCCUCUCUGUCCAUUGCGCGCAUCUCAUCGCUGACAUUGACCCGAUCACCAUCGUUCGUGAGCCACUGCCUUGGAUUUUUCGUCGGAAAUUGCCAAACUUUGUGGAAUUUGAAGAUUUGGAUUUGAGGUAUGGAGGGAUUUCAAGAUCUUCGGUGUGCUAUCCAGCGGAUUUGGAAGUAGUUCAACAAGAUUUUUAGUAAGGGAAAAGAUACAUCGGCGAAUGAUAAGAGAAACCCAUGAUCGUGCCACUGGGACUAGACAGAUGCUUUCACUCAUGUUUUCAUAUUUUAAAAUACCAGAAUUUAGAAAACUUUUAGUGUUUGUCUGGCUGGUGUUUCUAGACAAUUUUUUUUUUUUUUAGUAAUGUUUUGUUUAAAUUAAGGGUACCCUGAUGAAUGAUUUUUAGUUAUUUAGCUUUAUAAAAGUUAUUUAUUUUAUAACAUUUAUUUAGUUUUAGCCAAUUCAUGAAAAGUGUCAUUUUUAGAUUUAUUGACCUAUCACAAAUUCUAGGGAGUCAGGU